UACGAAGGGGGCUAGCGUUGCUCGGAAUCACUGGGCGUAAAGCGCACGUAGGCGGAUCUUUAAGUCAGGGGUGAAAUCCCUGGAGCUCAACUCCAGAACUGCCUUUGAUACUGGGGAUCUCGAGUCCGGGAGAGGUGAGUGGAACUCCGAGUGUAGAGGUGAAAUUCGUAGAUAUUCGGAAGAACACCAGUGGCGAAGGCGGCUCACUGGCCCGGUACUGACGCUGAGGUGCGAAAGCGUGGGGAGCAAACAGG
rnacentral:rRNA from 1 species